GUGUUACUUCCUCCAUUCCAUAAUUCUUGUCGAAAUAUUACAUGUAUCUAGAUGCUUUUUUGGAAUAGAUACAUCUAUUUUUGGGCAAAUUUGAGACAAGAAUUAUGGAACGGAGGUAGUACUUA
rfam:Brachypodium distachyon strain Bd21 chromosome 2, whole genome shotgun sequence.